AACGAACGCUGGCGGCAGGCCUAACACAUGCAAGUCGAGCGGGACCUUCGGGUCUAGCGGCGGACGGGUUAGUAACGCGUGGGAACGUGCCCAAAGGUACGAAAUAGCCUCGGGAAACUGAGAGUAAUACCGUAUGUNCCCCUCGGGGGAAAGAUUUAUCGCCUUUGGAUCGGCCCGCGUUGGAUUAGGUAGUUGGUGGGGUAAUGGCCUACCAAGCCGACGAUCCAUAGCUGGUUUGAGAGGAUGAUCAGCAACACUGGGACUGAGACACGGCCCAGACUCCUACGGGAGGCAGCAGUGGGGAAUCUUAGACAAUGGGGGAAACCCUGAUCUAGCCAUGCCGCGUGAGCGAUGAAGGCCUUAGGGUUGUAAAGCUCUUUCAGAUGGGAAGAUAAUGACGGUACCAUCAGAAGAAGCCCCGGCUAACUCCGUG
rnacentral:rRNA from 1 species